CAGCAGCCGCGGUAAUACGAGGGUGCGAGCGUUAAUCGGAAUUACUGGGCGUAAAGCGCGCGUAGGCGGUUUAUUAAGUCAGAUGUGAAAGCCCCGGGCUCAACCUGGGAAUUGCAUUUGAGACUGGUAGGCUAGAGUGUGGUAGAGGUGAGUGGAAUUUCAGGUGUAGCGGUGAAAUGCGUAGAGAUCUGAAGGAACAUCAGUGGCGAAGGCGACUCACUGGGCCAUUACUGACGCUGAGGUGCGAAAGCGUGGGUAGCAAACAGGAUUAGAUACCCUGGUAGUCCACGCCCUAAACGAUGUCAACUAGGUGUAUGGAGAAUUUAUUCUUUGUGUAUCGAAGCUAACGCGAUAAGUUGACCGCCUGGGGAGUACGGUCGCAAAA
rnacentral:rRNA from 1 species